rnacentral:rRNA from 1 species
GACGAACGCUGGCGGCGUGCCUAAUACAUGCAAGUAGAACGCUGAAGGAGGAGCUUGCUUCUCUGGAUGAGUUGCGAACGGGUGAGUAACGCGUAGGUAACCUGCCUGGUAGCGGGGGAUAACUACUGGAAACGAUAGCUAAUACCGCAUAAUAGUAGAUGUUGCAUGACAUUUGCUUAAAAGGUGCAAUUGCAUCACUACCAGAUGGACCUGCGUUGUAUUAGCUAGUUGGUGAGGUAACGGCUCACCAAGGCGACGAUACAUAGCCGACCUGAGAGGGUGAUCGGCCACACUGGGACUGAGACACGGCCCAGACUCCUACGGGAGGCAGCAGUAGGGAAUCUUCGGCAAUGGACGGAAGUCUGACCGAGCAACGCCGCGUGAGUGAAGAAGGUUUUCGGAUCGUAAAGCUCUGUUGUAAGAGAAGAACGAGUGUGAGAGUGGAAAGUUCACACUGUGACGGUAUCUUACCAGAAAGGGACGGCUAACUACGUG